UCUAAUAUGGCAGAUUAGUGCAAUGGAUUUAAGCUCCAUAUAUAAAGGUUUCCCUUUUAUUAGAA
rnacentral:tRNA from 3 species